CCUGGUGACCAUAGCGAGUUGGAACCACCCCUUCCCAUCCCGAACAGGUCCGUGAAACGACUCCGCGCCGAUGAUAGUGCGGAUUACCCGUGUGAAAGUAGGUCAUCGCCAGGC
rnacentral:rRNA from 3 species